rnacentral:rRNA from 1 species
UGGGGAAUAUUGGACAAUGGGCGCAAGCCUGAUCCAGCCAUGCCGCGUGAGUGACGAAGGCCUUAGGGUUGUAAAGCUCUUUUGGCGGGGACGAUAAUGACGGUACCCGCAGAAUAAGCCCCGGCUAACUUCGUGCCAGCAGCCGCGGUAAUACGAAGGGGGCUAGCGUUGUUCGGAAUUACUGGGCGUAAAGCGCACGUAGGCGGAUGUGCCAGUCAGAGGUGAAAUCCCGGAGCUCAACUUCGGAACUGCCUUUGAUACUGGCAAUCUAGAGUCCGGAAGAGGUUAGUGGAAUUCCCAGUGUAGAGGUGAAAUUCGUAGAUAUUGGGAAGAACACCAGUGGCGAAGGCGGCUAACUGGUCCGGUACUGACGCUGAGGUGCGAAAGCGUGGGGAGCAAACAGGAUUAGAUACCCCCGUAGUCCCUGAGCGGGCUGGCAAGGCGCAU